rnacentral:rRNA from 1 species
GCCUACGGCCAUACCACCCUGAAAGCGCCCGAUCUCGUCUGAUCUCGGAAGCUAAGCAGGGACGGGCCUGGUUAGUACCUGGAUGGAAGACCGCCUGGGAAUACCAGGUGUUGUAGGCU